UGGUGGAUAGCCACUCUGCUCUCUCAGAACCUGUCUACAGGGAAGUUUACACAUGGGAGCACUCAGUUAAGAGAUGAAAAGACUCCUGAUGCCAUGGUUUGGGCACCCAGAUACAGCCGUUCCUAAAGUCCCGUAGGCAGCCACACCUUCCACAUAUUCCAUGACCAUGCAGAGGUGGCGCCGGGUCUCGAAGGAGCAGAACAUGCCGACCACAAACGGGUUCUCAGCGAAGGAAAGAAGCCUAUGAAAUAAUCACCUUCAUAUACAAAGAGCUUCCAGAAAUCAAUAACAAACAACCCACCCAUGGAAGAGAAAAUACAGACAAGAUAUGCAAACUACAAUUAGAGCUCUUAACCAUAUGAAAAGAUGCUGAACCUCACAUAUAGUGGCAGAGGGCAAAUUAUAACUACCCCAAGGUACAAUUUUUCACCUAGCAGAUUGGCCAAAAAAAAAAAAAAAAUCCAAACGGCUGACACGUUCUGGGUAAAGCUGUGGAGGAACAGGUACUUUUAUACCUUCCUACUGGGUGUGUAAAAUGGUACAGCCUCCACGGAAGGUACUCUGACAUAAAAGAAUUGUAAAUGCAUGUUCCCUUUGAUCCAGUAAUUUCAUUUUUGAAUUAUUGCUACAGACACGCAUGUGAAAAAUCACAUAUGUAUUAUCUCGCUCAUUGCAAGACUGGAAACAACCUGUAUGUUUGCCUUUAGGAAACUGGUUAAAUAAACACAUGAGAGGCAUCUGUGUAGAGGAAUGCAGGGCCACUGUUGAAAAG